UACGUAGGUGGCAAGCGUUGUCCGGAUUUAUUGGGUUUAAAGGGUGCGUAGGCGGUCUAUUAAGUCAGCGGUGAGAUACUCCAGCUUAACUGGAGGGGUGCCAUUGAUACUGAUGGACUUGAGUCAAGUCGAGGUAGGCGGAAUUGACGGUGUAGCGGUGAAAUGCUUAGAUAUCGUCAAGAACACCAAUAGUGAAGACAGCUUACUGGGCUUAAACUGACGCUGAGGCACGAAAGUGUGGGGAUCAAACAGG
rnacentral:rRNA from 1 species